rnacentral:rRNA from 1 species
AACUUGAAUAUUAGGAGUUAUGGGCUUUAAAUUCAAAGAAUUUGGCGGUAUUUUAGUCUUGUUAGAGGAACCUGUUCUGUAAGCGAUAUUACACGUAUAAUCUUACUUGCUUUUGUUUUAGCUUGUAUACCGUCAUUAUUAGAUAACCUUUAUUGAGAGAGUUAUUGACCUAUAAAAAAAUUAGAUAUAUUAGAUCAAGGUGCAGCUAAUGGGCAAGUAGAAAUGGGUUACAAUGAAAUUUAUUUAAACGAAUUAAUGUUUGAAAAAUUAUUAUGAAGGAGGAUUUAAUUGUAACAUAAAUUUAAUAAGAUUAUGUGGUAUGAGAACUACAAUAUGUACACAUACGCCCG